CGAAUGCUGACAUAAGUAACGAUAAAGCGGGUGAAAAGCCCGCUCGCCGGAAGACCAAGGGUUCCUGUCCAACGUUAAUCGGGGCAGGGUGAGUCGACCCCUAAGGCGAGGCCGAAAGGCGUAGUCGAUGGGAAACAGGUUAAUAUUCCUGUACUUGGUGUUACUGCGAAGGGGGGACGGAGAAGGCUAUGUUGGCCGGGCGACGGUUGUCCCGGUUUAAGCGUGUAGGCUGGUUUUCCAGGCAAAUCCGGAAAAUCAAGGCUGAGGCGUGAUGACGAGGCACUACGGUGCUGAAGCAACAAAUGCCCUGCUUCCAGGAAAAGCCUCUAAGCAUCAGGUAACAUCAAAUCGUACCCCAAACCGACACAGGUGGUCAGGUAGAGAAUACCAAGGCGCUUGAGAGAACUCGGGUGAAGGAACUAGGCAAAAUGGUGCCGUAACUUCGGGAGAAGGCACGCUGAUAUGUAGGUGAAGCGACUUGCUCGUGGAGCUGAAAUCAGUCGAAGAUACCAGCUGGCUGCAACUGUUUAUUAAA
rnacentral:rRNA from 1 species